CUACGGGAUGCAGCAGUGGGGAAUAUUGCACAAUGGGCGCAAGCCUGAUGCAGCCAUGCCGCGUGUACGAAGAAGGCCUUCGGGUUGUAAAGUACUUUCAGCGGGGAGGAAGGGAGUAAAGUUAAUACCUUUGCUCAUUGACGUUACCCGCAGAAGAAGCACCGGCUAACUCCGUGCCAGCAGCCGCGGUAAUACGGAGGGUGCAAGCGUUAAUCGGAAUUACUGGGCGUAAAGCGCACGCAGGCGGUUUGUUAAGUCAGAUGUGAAAUCCCCGGGCUCAACCUGGGAACUGCAUCUGAUACUGGCAAGCUUGAGUCUCGUAGAGGGGGGUAGAAUUCCAGGUGUAGCGGUGAAAUGCGAAGAGAUCUGGAGGAAUACCGGUGGCGAAGGCGGCCCCCUGGACGAAGACUGACGCUCAGGUGCGAAAGCGUGGGGAGCAAACAGGAUUAGAUACCCGCGUAGUC
rnacentral:rRNA from 1 species